CCUACGGGAGGCAGCAGUGAGGAAUAUUGGUCAAUGGACGCGAGUCUGAACCAGCCAAGUAGCGUGCAGGAUGACUGCCCUAUGAGUUGUAAACUUCUUUUAUAAAGGGAUAAAUUCAGACACGUGUACCUUUUUGUAUGUACUUUAUGAAUAAGGAUCGGCUAACUCCGUGCCAGCAGCCGCGGUAAUACGGAGGAUUCGAGCGUUAUCCGGAUUUAUUGGGUUUAAAGGGAGCGUAGAUGGGUUGUUAAGUCAGUUGUGAAAGUUUGCGGCUCAACCGUAAAAUUGCAAUUGAUACUGGCAGGCUAGAGUACAGUUGAGGUAGGCGGAAUGCAUGGUGUAGCGGUGAAAUGCUUAGAGAUCACACAGAACACCGAUUGCGAAGGCAGCUUACGAAUCCGCGAUUGACGCUGAGGCACGAAAGCGUGGGUAUCAAACAGGAUUAGAUACCCGAGUAGUC
rnacentral:rRNA from 1 species